UCGACACAAACCCCAAACUCAUGUGAGUUCAGCUGAUGAUCCACUUCAUGGCAGCUUGUGUCAAAUAAAAGACACACGCAGUCCAAAUACUUAAAAAAAGAGAAAUGUAUUCGGUUUUAUCAUUUGAAAUAAUCAGGUUUUGUUGGUUUAUUAAUUCAGUUCAUCUGAUAAUUGUAUUGUUACAUUGCUUUUAUAGAUCAGAUGUGCGGGCUAUUUGCUCUUAUAUCAUUGCUCCACUCAUCAUGAUUUGUUUCAUGCUGUGGAAAGAAAGCUCAGUUUCAGGAGAGUCUCCAACAGAAGAUCCAGAUGAGAUUGAUCUGAUUCCUGCAGGAAAGACUGUUUUACUGGGAGAAACUGGAUCUGGGAAAAGUGCCACUGUAAACACGAUCAAAUCUCCAGCCAGUUUACAUACAAACACUUUCCAAGUCAUUCAGAGAAUGAACACGUACAAAAACAUCUCUCUCCUUUAGAUGUGUAAUUUAUAAAUCUAAAACGAUCUUGAAAUUGUGCACAUCUAAAUUGUUUCUACGGAAUCCCUAAAGGGUCACUGUGGUGGAAAAUAAUCAAACAUUUGGGGUGGGG